rnacentral:pre_miRNA from 1 species
CUUCGGUAGUGCUAAAGUGCUUAUAGUGCAGGUAGUAAUUAGUGUUCUACUGCAUCAUGAGCACUUAAAGUACUUCUGGCU